AGCCCCGUGGUGGAUUGUCCACGUUGGAUUGCAAAUCCAGAGACGCAGAGUAAGAUCCUGCCGGGGCUU
rnacentral:tRNA from 1 species